UACGUAGGGUGCGAGCGUUGUCCGGAAUUACUGGGCGUAAAGAGCUCGUAGGUGGUUUGUCGCGUUGUUCGUGAAAACCUGAGGCUUAACCUUGGGCGUGCGGGCGAUACGGGCAGACUGGAGUACUGCAGGGGAGACUGGAAUUCCUGGUGUAGCGGUGGAAUGCGCAGAUAUCAGGAGGAACACCGGUGGCGAAGGCGGGUCUCUGGGCCACUACUGACGCUGAGAAGCGAAAGCGUGGGGAGCAAACAGG
rnacentral:rRNA from 1 species